ACUUUCCAGAACGCUCGGUGAGAGGCGGAGGAGCAGCGGCUGCUCAAGCUGCGCACAGAUACGCGCUCCUUCCCGCUCCUCCACGUCGGCCUCAGCCCGCUCACCGGCUGUAGAAAAUGGUGAAAGAAACCACUUAUUAUGAUGUUUUGGGGGUCAAACACAAUGCCACUCAUGAAGAGUUGAAAAAGGCUUAUAGGAAACUGGCCUUGAAAUACCACCCUGAUAAGAAUCCAAAUGAAGGAGAGAAGUUUAAACAGAUUCCUCAAGCCUACGGAGUUCUCUCUGAUGUAAAGAAGAGGGAACUAUAUGACAAAGGAGGAGAACAGGCAAUUAAAGAGGGUGGAGCAGGUGGCGGUUUUGGCUCCCCCAUGGACAUCUUUGAUAUGUUUCUUGGAGGAGGAGGAAGGAUGCAAAGAGAAAGGAGAGGUAAAAAUGUUGUACCUCAGCUCUCAGUAACCUUAGAAGAUUUAUAUAAUGGUGCAACAAGAAAACCGGCUCUGCAGAACAAUGUGAUUUGUGACAAGUGUGAAGGCCGAGGUGGUAAGAAAGGAGCAGUAGAGUGCUGUCCCAAUUGCCGAGGUACUGGAAUGCAAAUAAGAAUUCAUCAAAUAGGACCUGGAAUGGGUCAACAAAUUCAAUCUGUGUGCAUGGAGUGCCAGGGCCGUGGGGAACGGAUCAGUCCUAAAGACAGAUGUCAAAUCUGCAACGGAAGGAAGAUAGGUCGGGAAAAGAAGAUUCUAGAAGUUCAUAUUGACAAAGGCAUGAAAGAUGGCCAGAAGAUAACAUUCCAUGGUGAAGGAGACCAAGAACCAGGACUAGAGCCAGGAGAUAUUAUCAAUGUGUUAGAUCAGAAGGACCAUGCUGUUUUUACUCGACGAGGAGAAGACCUUUUCAUGUGUAUGGACAUACAGCUGGUUGAAGCAUUAUGUGGCUUCCAAAAGUUCACAACAGUGCCACCAAUGGUAGGGUUGGUCCAAAGUUUAGCCACCAGAUAA